UACGGUGUGGCCCUGUGGGUAAUGUGAUAGCCGCCUCUGUUGUCUAGGGUUAUCAGACUACCUUAUUGUCUUGGUGGGCUAUGGGCGUUGCUAAUUGGGUUUGCUUACUUAUUUUGGUAAUUCGGUAUAUGGGCAUACCGCAAGCCCCAAACAUCAAAGACCAUCAAGCGCAUUGGGCUCAAAGAAAAACAAAAACUAGAAAAGAGAUUCCAAGAACCAAGACAAAAGGCCUGACUCUUUUAUUUACUUUUUUUCAUUUCCGUAGAUGUGUCAAACAUUUGGUACGAGUAACUGACCAGAGAGAAAGGCCGCAGACCUUGCGGAAGGUUCCCAUGAGAUAGGGCAGUAGGGACGGAAGGUAGAGCCCAGUGGAGGAGUGGAUUCGGGAGUUUUUGAAGAAGUUCCCCGUUCAACCCGACGAAUACGAAACGGAGGAAUAGGCGAAGCAGCAGAAAGGGAAGAUGAAGGCGGACCUCCUCUUUUAUGGUUUCGUUACAGCUUUUUCACAUACAAAUGGUUGAACGAGUUGCUUGGAGUUAUGGAAGCAACCAAACAAUGUCUAAUAUAUUUUUUACUUGAGUAAUCAGAAAGAAUCGACCUCAGCUCAAGUCAAUUUCAGAGUGUUUGAGCUCGUCUUGAACAUCCCUACUACUUGUCGAGCUCAAACUUGUUUCAUCAUUUUCAGGAUCCGAUUAACCAUGCAAGUAUGGUCUAUCUCUCUCACACACGCACACUGAGGCCCAGAGCCUAAUGCUGUCUUCCACCGUCAAGCGGUGGUCUUAUAACUAUAUGCUAUAUACUUCUAUGAGUUGCAGGUAAAGGAAAAAGCCCACUCAUUUCAAUCUUACUGGAUUGCCAGUGACGGAGCGAUACAGAGUUUUCUCAAUGUAUUGAUGAAACCCAUGACAGAGAGUGUUGUUUUAAAGGACUGAUCUGAAUGAGAAGAAAACAUGGUUGAGAAUAUGCUUGAACUAGAACUCCGAUGCCAAGCAUGAUGAAUAAAGCUUUUUCCCUUUUCCUUCAAAAGAUACAAUUUUCAAUAGGCUUCAAACCUGAAUACCAAGUUCUUGCAGACAUUCUUAAAUCCUGUGCUGCCAUCAGAAACAUCAAUUUGGGGAACGCUCUUCAUGGUCAUAUUGUUAAACUGGGCCAUAGUUCUUGCCAGUCUGUUUCGAAAGCGCUGCUUAAUAUGUAUGCCAAAUGUAAAGCUUUUGAUGAUUGCCAGAAACUUUUUGGUCAAGUAAGCCACUGUGAUGCUGUCACUUGGAACAUUGUCUUAUCUGGGUUUGCAGGGUCCCGGAAUCUUGAUUUGGAGGUGAUGAAGUUGUUUUAUGCAAUGCAUAUUGGUGAGGACCCUAGGCCUAACUCUAUUACUGUUGCUAUCGUUCUUCCUGUGUGCGCACGUUCAGGAGCUCUUGAUGCUGGAAAGAGUUUGCACUCUUACGUGAUAAGAUCUGGAUUGGAAUCUGAUACCCUUGUAGGAAAUGCUCUGGUUUCCAUGUAUGCUAAAUCUGGGCAUGUUUGUGAUGAUGCAUAUGCUGUGUUUCAUAAAAUUGCUGACAAGGAUGUUGUUUCAUGGAAUGCAAUGAUUGCUGGGUUUGCAGAGAAUAAAUUGAUGGAUGAUGCAUUUUACUUGUUUCGUGGAAUGCUAAAAGGUCCAACAGUACCUAAUUAUGCCACAAUUGCAAACAUUUUGCCUGUUUGUGCUUUUUUAGAAGAGAAUGUUGCCUACCACUUUGGAAAAGAGAUCCAUUGUUAUGUGACGAGACGGGCUGAAUUGAUAACGGAUAUUUCAGUCAUUAAUGCUCUUAUGAGCUUCUACUUGAGGAUUGGACGGACGGAAGAAGCACAUUCAUUGUUCCGAAGGAUGAAGUUAAGGGAUUUAGUUUCAUGGAAUUCUAUUAUUGCCGGAUAUGCUUCAAAUUGUGAGUGGUUGAAGGCAUUAGAGUUAUUUCAUGAAUUGCUCUCUGUUGAGAUGACCAAGCUGGACUCUGUCACUCUUAUCAGUAUUCUUCCUGUCUGUGCUCAUUUAUAUAAUUGGCAGGUGGGAAAGCAGAUCCAUGGGUAUAUCAUCCGGCAUCCUGGUCUGCGUGAUGAUACAGCAGUCGGAAAUGCCCUAAUAAGUUUUUAUGCAAAAUGCAGUGACAUAGAGGCUGCUUUUAGAACAUUCUCAUUGAUUUGUAAGAGAGAUUUGAUAACAUGGAAUUCUAUGCUUGAUGCCUUUGCAGUGAGUACAUUUGACAAUCAGUUUGUUGACCUGUUACAUAAGAUGCUUAGGGGAGGGUUAAGACCUGACUCUAUUACCAUAUUAACUACAAUCCAAUUUUGUGCUAUUGUAUCUAGAGUGGAUAAGGUUAAAGAAGCUCAUGCUUUUUCAAUAAAAUCUGGUCUUUUGCUAGGGAAUAUUGAACCUACUCUUGGGAAUGCAAUAAUUGAUGCAUAUGCUAAGUGUGGUAACGUGGGUUAUGCAUUGAAGAUUUUUGAGAGUUUAUCAGGGAAGAGGAAUGUGGUCACGUGCAACUCAAUGAUCUCAGGAUACAUAAAUUGUGGCUUACAUGAUGAUGCACGCAUGAUAUUUAACAGGAUGUCUGAAAUGGAUCUCACCACUUGGAAUCUAAUGGUUCGAGUCUAUGCUGAAAAUGAUUGUCCUAGUUCAGCUCUGACUCUGUUCCAUGAGUUAAAAGGUCAUGGAAUGAAGCCUGAUGCUGUGACUGUUAUGAGCCUCCUUCCCGUUUGUGCUCAAAUGGCCUCAGUCCACCUGCUAAGGCAAUGCCAUGGAUAUGUGGUGAGGGCUUGUUUUGAGGAUGUUCGCUUGAAGGGAGCUAUUUUAGACGCAUAUUCAAAAUGUGGGAGCAUAAAAUGUGCAUAUAAUCUCUUCCAGUCAACUCCGCAGAAGGAUCUGGUUAUGUUCACGGCUAUGGUUGGAGGAUAUGCGAUGCAUGGAAUGGGAGAAGAAGCAGUUGGGGUUUUCUCUCACCUGCUUGAGUUGGGUAUAAAACCAGACCAUGUUAUAAUAACUGCAGUUUUGUCUGCUUGCAGUCAUUCUGGCCUGGUGGAGGAAGGGUUGAAGAUUUUUGAUUCACUAGAGAAGGUGCAUGGGAUUAAACCAACUAUGGAGCAGUAUGCUUGUGUAGUGGAUCUCCUUGCUCGAGGAGGUCGAAUUGAGGAUGCCUAUUAUUUUGUGACUAAUAUGCCCAUUAAAGCUAAUGCCAAUAUAUGGGGUGCAUUGUUGGGUGCUUGUAGAACCCACCACGAGGUGGAAAUCGGACGUGAUGUGGCAGAUCGCCUUUUUAAAAUUGAAAGUAAUAAUAUUGGAAACUAUGUAGUCAUGUCAAACCUAUAUGCUGCAAACGCUAAAUGGGAUGGGGUCCUGGAGAUGAGACGGUUAAUGAAGACGAGAGCUCUGAAAAAGCCAGCUGGGUGCAGUUGGAUCGAAGUAGAAGGGAGGAAAAAUGUUUUUAUUGCUGGAGAUUCUUCUCACCCGCAGAGAAGUACUGUUUACAGCAUGUUAAGUACCUUGGAUGAACAAAUCAAAGAGAAAUUUCAGUUCUGAUUAAUCGACUCAAAACCUAGCAUUUGCAGUGCCCUCAAAAGCAGGCUUCUAAGUGACAAUGCCAUGAAGCCUGGACUCUGGCCAUGAAUUUCUUUUCCUGGCCUUCAAUGGCAAAUGCGCGAUGGCUGACCGCUGAGCUCACACAUGGGCCUAGGAGGUGAGGUCUGCCAAUAGUGCCAGCUUGAAGGAGGCACAACAACUAUGCAAAGAAAUGCCAAUGAACAUGAAAGAUUUAGCAUUCCAAAGUGGGGAUUGCUCUGAAGCACUUGCUCAUCUUUUUCCAGUUCCUCCUCUUCAAGAACUUAGCGAGGUACUUCAUGGAUAUUCUUAACUCUUCUCGCCCCUAUGCAACUGGCGGGACAUCAUACAACGAGAUGUGGACGGACUCAAAGCAAUUGGCAACCACUCUGACAACUGAAAAUGAAAAAUCAUGUUCAAAUUAUAAUAUGCUAAAGGUCUGCUGAUCAUCAAAUGGAGAUGACUGUAAAUGGGGAUGGAUUGAACAGAUCGUAUUUUUGAAGGUACAAUCUCUAUAUUCAUUUUCAUUCUUGGUAUAUUAGUGAACAGUGAUUGAGAUAAAAUUUGCAGUUUUGAUUUGACUCUCUAAUUUAGUUAUUUCAUUAUAGUCCUUCAUCAUCUGACUCUCUUCUCUCUCUCCGUGUUUUGAAAUUUUGCUGUAAAUUUAAGCUAAUUCUCACUCCAAAGCGACAGAACAAAAAGAGAAUCAGAAAUGUGGAUUCACCGAAAAUGCUAUUCGGUUUUAACAAACCUUCUUUUCUCUUUGCAUUUACAUUUUUGAAGGACAAAAUCCACCACUCCAUUGAUUGAUUUCUGAUAAUUUUUCUCAUCCACAUCAUAGAUCGGUAAGUGGUCUGAACUCUAAAGCUUAUGUUUAAGAUUAGCUAUUUCUGUAUUUUAUGUAUAUGUAGACAGUCAAGACAUUUUAUUAUUUUACUAUUACAUAAUUCACGAACAUUUUCCUCCACGAAAUAAAGCUAACCCAAAAUGGGCUUAAUAGGGGUUUGGUAUUCUGUAUUGAGGGAUUUUUCGUCCACAAAAUGGGCUUAACAAGGGGUUAUUUUUCUGCAUUUAUUCUCAAUGAAGGUAUGUUUCACACUAAUUUAGCGAAACCCAACUUAAUGUCAAUUUGGCCACAAUUUGAAGUCAUUACUAGAUGCAAAUGGAUACCAGCUGAACCACUGUUACCUAAUUGAACCAUGGCUCAAGCUUGUAAUGGCUUGCUAAUGUUUUUGAGGCCAAAAUCUCCAUAGACAUGUACAUCUGUUUAUUUCAUUGCAUAUAAUCCAACUAUCUUGAAUUUCAUCCCUUGGUCCAUGAUCCAUAUGUUUUUUUCGAAUGGUUCCAUAAUCCAUAUGUUGUUCAUGUACUUUAGUCUCUCAAAUAAAUUGAGCAUCAAAGAAGACCUCUCUCUAACCCUCCACUAUUUUGCUAUUAUUAUCUUUAGUAUUAUUAUUAUUCCUUUAUUUUUUUCUUUUCUUUUCUUUUCUUUUCUUGUUAUUGUUCUCUUUUUUUAUCACCAUUGUCUAAAGUUAACCCAGCAACAGAUUUGUAAAUGGUGAUUCUCGAGAUGAAAUUAAAUGGUUGUAACAACACUCAUUUAUUGAAUUCUAUCUAAUCAAGGUAUCCUUGUAUAAACGGAGGCUAUUUUGAAUCUUCUUCUCAUGUGAUCUUCUUACAGCUAUCUGUGAAGUAGAAAACAUUCGGCGUUGACGGCAUAAUCUGUGGAGUAGAACACUGUAGUUCCUAAAUAUUCCUCUUUUUCUAAUUGAGAUGCAUUCCUAAAGGAACAACCAUGGAAAUAAAUUUUAAUUCUCCCCCUUUAGGUGGAACAAACAGUGUCCUUGCUGAAGAAUGGCUAUUCUUGCCGCAUAUUUGUGUCAUUGUUCUAUGAAUUUUUAUGGCAGAACAUAGCGAGUUACUUCAUAAAUAUUCUCAACUCUUCUCACGUGGUCACACCUAUGCAACUGGAGGGACAUCACACAACGAGAUGUAGUGAUUGUCACAAUUAUGUUUUUGUUAUGAAAAUGUCAUGGUAUGAUUCACUUGUAACCAGGUGCAUAAUGUCAAUAUAUAUAAAUGUUUGAGGCACUGAAAUUUUUUUUUGUCGUAUUAUUUCCAAGAUUGUUGACGGCUACUAUAGAUGUGUUUGUGUUGGGUAAGUGCUUAGGGAAGUGUCGGCCAAGUGUCUAAAAUAGUUAAAUUUAUUUU